rnacentral:rRNA from 1 species
UACGAAGGGAGCAAGCGUUGUUCGGAUUCAUUGGGCGUAAAGGGUGCGUAGGCGGCGCGGUAAGUCGGGUGUGAAAUCUUGGAGCUUAACUCCGGAACUGCAUUCGAUACUGCCGUGCUUGAGGACUGGAGAGGAGACUGGAAUUUACGGUGUAGCGGUGAAAUGCGUAGAUAUCAGGAGGAACACCGAUGGCGAAGGCAGGUCUCUGGGCCAUAACUGACGCUGAGAAGCGAAAGCAUGGGGAGCGAACAGG